rnacentral:rRNA from 1 species
GGUCCUACGGGACGCAGUAGUGGGGAAUAUUGCACAAUGGGGGAAACCCUGAUGCAGCGACGCCGCGUGAAGGAAGAAGGCUUUCGGGUUGUAAACUUCUUUUCUCAGGGACGAAGAAAGUGACGGUACCUGAGGAAUAAGCCACGGCUAACUACGUGCCAGCAGCCGCGGUAAUACGUAGGUGGCAAGCGUUAUCCGGAUUUAUUGGGUGUAAAGGGCGUGUAGGCGGGAGCGCAAGUCAGAUGUGAAAACUCAGGGCUCAACCCUGAGCCUGCCUUUGAAACUGUGUUUCUUGAGUGCUGGAG